UAAAAAUCAGGAAAAAUCAUCUAUUUGGAGGGUUGGGUAUUUAGCUAAUAAUAAUAUAAAUUAAAAUUACUUCUAAACCAUAAUAAAGGUCUUCAGUAAUGAUACAAAAAAACUAAACAGAUAAUAUGUUUUUGAACCAGAAGGGAUCAAUGUCUUACCAAUCUUUGAUUUAUUUAGAUAAUUAUGGGAAUUCUUAAAUAAGAUAGUGAUGAUAAAUCUAAAAUUUAUUAAACUUUAGGAAUGAUUAUGGCAAUGCUGUACAUAGUGGUUCUAUAGAAUCAGAUGAUAUCUAAAUGACUUAAAGGAGCCAUUUAAGUGAGGUUUUUAUAUUGAUAUAGCCACCCUUGGUACCCACAGGGAAGUAAUUUCAGGACACCAAUUCCUUACCAAAAGCCUUGUAUGCUCAAGUAUCUUAUAUGAAAUGGCAUAGUGUCUGUAUUUAACCUACCCAUGCCCUCCAAUGUACUCUGUGUGUGUGUGUGUGUGUGUGUGCGCGUGCGCGUACACACGUUGCUAGGGAUUGAACCCAGGGCCUUGUGCAUGCAAGGCAAGCACUGUACAACUGAUCUAUAUAUCUCUAAUCCUCCAGUCUACUUUAAAUGGUCUCUAGAUGAUGAUAAUAUCUAAGACCAUAUAAAUGUUGUAAAUAGUUGUUACGCUGUAACUGGAGAUCAAACUAAGUGAACUAAGCCAGAAUCAGAAAGUCAAGGGUCACAUGUUUUCUCUCAUUGAGGAAGCUAGAGCAAAGUAAGGAAACAUGACCAAUGGGGCAGUGGUGGGGGACCACAAAAAUGAGGGCAGAUCAGUGUGGAAUAGAGGAAAAGGCUGAGGUGGGGAGAGGAGGACCAGGGAAAGGAAAGGAAUGCUAAAUGAAAUUGACAA
rnacentral:lncRNA from 1 species